UCUCUGGUAGUAUAUCGGUCAGUACACGCGCCUGUCAUUGGAUGAUGGCGCGCGCGAAAGCGGGGUUCGACUCCCCGCCAGAGAG